rnacentral:rRNA from 1 species
GUGGGGAAUAUUGCACAAUGGGGGAAACCCUGAUGCAGCGACGCCGCGUGAGUGAAGAAGUAUUUCGGUACGUAAAGCUCUAUCAGCAAGGAAGAAAAUGACGGUACUUGACUAAGAAGCCCCGGCUAACUACGUGCCAGCAGCCGCGGUAAUACGUAGGGGGCAAGCGUUAUCCGGAUUUACUGGGUGUAAAGGGAGCGUAGACGGUAUGGUAAGUCAGAUGUGAAAGCCCGGGGCUCAACCCCGGGACUGCAUUUGAAACUAUCAGACUAGAGUGCAGGAGAGGUAAGUGGAAUUCCUAGUGUAGCGGUGAAAUGCGUAGAUAUUAGGAGGAACACCAGUGGCGAAGGCGGCUUACUGGACUGUAACUGACGUUGAGGCUCGAAAGCGUGGGGAGCAAACAGGAUUAGAAACCCCGGUAGUCCC